AGGCGGAAGCGAUUAUAGUAUUUAACAGCCGCCACAUCUUUGAGACUACAAUAGAGGAAUAGACAAAACAGAGAAAGAUGAUGAUUUGGAUGGAAAAUGCCAGAACCAAAGAGAAAGCAGAGCAUCGGUUAUGGGAGGAGAACUUGGUGACUGUCGAGGAUGAAUAGCUUUGCGUGGAUGAUACGUGAGAUAAUAGCUAC